UAAGUGUCAAUAUUUAGUAGCAGGGACAUUUUGAGGUAUUUUUAAAAAUACAAAGACUAAAUAGACACUAAUCUCAUAAUAUAGAGAUUAAACAAGCUUUUACCCUUUUUUUUUUUUUCCCUUUCUUUCUCUAAUUUGUAAAAGUGCAAAGAAAUGUUUCACUCGGACAAAAUCAAUUUACCGCUCUUUUUAGCAAACGAUGCACCGCAUUUAUUUUUUUUUAACGAGCACUUACGCUGCUUGUUAACGCGCGAGAAAAAUGCGAAAGCAGAUGCUUUAUCUUGCAAGGAAAAGUUAAUUGUUGUACAUAACUAAGAAGGAAAAAUAAUAGGCAGAAACACGAUUAGUAAGUUUAAGCCGCGUAAUUAAUUAAGAGAUAAAAAUUAGAGUUAGCAAAAUUUCGGACUCGAGUUUGCCAAGCCUCUCCUGAGCAUAUAUUUUGUCAGAUUGGGUUGGACCCUGUUCAAUUCAUGCAUUUUUUAGGCAAGGCCUAAUAACUUGAAUGUCAUGU
rnacentral:lncRNA from 1 species